UCCUGUGAAAUGCAGCCUUUUAUUGAAGCGUAAUACAUAUACAGAAAAAUUCACCUAUCAUAAGUAUGCAUCUUGGUAAAUUUUCACAAGGAAUAUACCCAUGGAACCAACAUCCAGAUCAAAAUCUGUCAGGCGUCUAGCACCCAGAAGCCCCUGCGGGUCCCUGCCAGUUACUAUGUGCCCCCAAGGCUGACCACUGUCCUGUCUUCUGGUACCACAGGUUUGUUUUGCCUGUUUUUUGAACUUUAUA
rnacentral:lncRNA from 1 species